rnacentral:ncRNA from 1 species
AGAUUAUGCAGCGUGCUAUCUAGCGGUUUGAUCAGCAGGCUGUUGUUGUUCAACGCCACAUCACCCGUCGCGGUCACCAGCUCGCCGUCCAGCGGGAUAUUGAGAUGUAAGCGAGCGCUCACGUCGCCAUCAAUCUGCAACUCAUCAAGCGUUGCCCCUAAGGAUUUACUCAGCGGAGUGCCCUUGAAGUAAGGGCCCACCGCAGCACCCGGGCCGUUAAUAUCGGCGUCAAUCAGCAGCUUCUCUUUGGCGUAAUCUGGAAUCGAGGCGUCCAGAUUGCGGGCAGUGACGCCGCCCAGCAUCGCUUUGUCGGCCUUCAUCCACAGGCCGCUGUUGACAAAGUUCAGCUCAAUAUCCAGGUCAGUAAGCGCCGGCCAGUCCGGCUGGAAAGCAAAAGUGGCGUCGUGUAACGGU